rnacentral:rRNA from 1 species
CGGUAAUACGGAGGGUGCGAGCGUUAAUCGGAAUUACUGGGCGUAAAGCGCAUGCAGGUGGUUUGUUAAGUCAGAUGUGAAAGACCCGGGGCGUUAACCUCGGAAUAGCAUUUGAAACUAGGCAGACUAGAGUACUGUAGAGGGGGGUAGGAAUUUCAGGUGUAGCGGUGAAAUGCGUAGAGAUCUGAAGGAAUACCGGUGGCGAAGGCGGCCCCCUGGACAGAUACUGACACUCAGAUGCGAAAGCGUGGGGAGCAAACAGGAUUAGAUACCCUGGUAG